rnacentral:ncRNA from 1 species
ACUGGAAUUGCGGGGGUAGUAGUUUCGGAACACAAAACCACGACAUUGGUCGAUGCAGUGAAACAGCGGAUUCCAAUCAAACAUUGCCAGCAUGAACGGCGGCAGCGAAUUGGCCACAAACAUCUUGCCCGAAGCGAUCAUGUUUGCCCGCUG